rnacentral:rRNA from 2 species
AUUACCCUCACUAAAGGGACUAGUCCUGCAGGUUUAAACGAAUUCGCCCUUCCGGUGAAUUAUUCGGACUGACGCAGUGCUCAGCUUCUGGACGUUGCGUUGGAAAGUUUCAUGAACCUUAUCACUUAGAGGAAGGAGAAGUCGUAACAAGGUUUCCGUAGGUGAACCUGCGGAAGGAUCAUUC